GACGAAUGCUGGCUGCGUGCUUAACACAUGCAAGUCGAACGGUGAAGGGGAGCUUGCUCCCCGGAUCAGUGGCGAACGGGUGAGUAACACGUGGGCAACCUGCCCCUCACUCUGGGAUAACUCCGGGAAACCGGGGCUAAUACCGGAUACGACCGGGAGCGACAUCGCUCCUGGUGGAAAGAACUUCGGUGAGGGAUGGGCCCGCGGCCUAUCAACUAGUUGGGGGGGUAACGGCCCACCAAGGCGACGACGGGUAGCCGGCCUGAGAGGGCGACCGGCCACACUGGGACUGAGACACGGCCCAGACUCCUACGGGAGGCAGCAGUGGGGAAUAUUGCGCGAUGGGCGAAAGCCUGACGCAGCGACGCAGCGUGAGGGACGAAGGCCUUCGGGUUGUAAACCUCUUUCAGCGGGGACGAAGCGAAAGUGACGGUACCCGCAGAGGAAGCACCGGCUAACUACGUGCCAGCCGCCGCGGUAA
rnacentral:rRNA from 1 species